rnacentral:rRNA from 1 species
GACGUAGGGUGCGAGCGUUGUCCGGAUUUAUUGGGCGUAAAGAGCUCGUAGGCGGCUCGUCGCGUCGACCGUGAAAACCCGCGGCUUAACUGCGGGCUUGCGGUUGAUACGGGCGGGCUAGAGUUCGGUAGGGGAGACUGGAAUUCCUGGUGUAGCGGUGAAAUGCGCAGAUAUCAGGAGGAACACCGGUGGCGAAGGCGGCUCACUGGCCCGAUACUGACGCUGAGGUGCGAAAGCGUGGGGAGCAAACAGG